rnacentral:lncRNA from 1 species
AAAAUUACCAGCAAAAUCCCAGACAAAGCUAAGGGGAACUCCUCUCUUCCGCUCUCCCUGCAUAUUCGAAGACGAUGACGGUGACUUUAGCACGUGCUGUCAACGAGGGGGCAAACGGAAGGAAGGGCCGAACAAAACCAGACUGGAAAGGGGACGCACAGUCUCUCUUUUCUCUCCUGUGCCUUGUUACCUUCACCUUGGCUGCAAUUAAUUCUGGUAACAUAAUCUUCACUUACAACUUUAUAUGACACUAAAUCAGUGCGAAGUGUGUGAGUGCUGGAGGGGGAGUGCCUCCGAGUGCCUCCGAGUGCCGAGUGCCGAGUGCUUGUGCCCCAAUUUGGCUGCAUAUUAGAGCAACAUUGAGUGGUGCUCCCAGUGUGUGUGUGUGCCUGUGUUUUUGUGGGGGCGUUGCCAAGCGGACGAAUGGAUUUACAAGCCCCCCAAUUAUGUAUCUGUGCGAGUGUCAGUGUGUGUGUGUUCCCUGAACGCACCGAAAUUCAACGCUUUCUGAGCUCAAAAUUUAAUUAGUUCCAUUUAAAGCGCAGCCCUAAAAUAAUCCCAGGAAAAGAGGGGAGGAAUUCUUUCCGCAUAUUUGCACGCCAGCCGAUAAUUAUCGCUUGAAAUUCGGUCAGAGGUUGACCUCCUCCAAAACGCAAACGAGAUCUCCUUUGGGUUUCAUCUGCAUGCCAGACCCUAAAACACCUGAUAUGCAGCAGUGCACCUACACGUACGACAAAGGCCACAAAAGAGAAACACAAAAAAAACUGUGUGAGAAUUGGAGAGAGAAGAGAGGAGAGUCCGAGUGUGAGCUGGGGGAACUCUUGCGGAAAGAUCUUUUGCACGCACAUUGACCAUUUCAUUUUCACUCGAAGUCAGAGCCAGAGUCAGAGAGUCAGGGCCGAAACGAACGUGCCCAGCAGCAGCAGCAGCAGCAGCCCGGCGGGAGGGGAACAGCAGCGGUAGAUAACCAGAUGCGGGGAUUGUUCCAUGUGAUUUACAGACGAUUACGUGAUUUCUUCAAUGUGUAAUGGAGUCUUUGUUGGAG